rnacentral:rRNA from 1 species
GAUGAACGCUGGCGGCGUGCCUAAUACAUGCAAGUCGAGCGAACGGACGAGAAGCUUGCUUCUCUGAUGUUAGCGGCGGACGGGUGAGUAACACGUGGAUAACCUACCUAUAAGACUGGGAUAACUUCGGGAAACCGGAGCUAAUACCGGAUAAUAUUUUGAACCGCAUGGUUCAAAAGUGAAAGACGGUCUUGCUGUCACUUAUAGAUGGAUCCGCGCUGCAUUAGCUAGUUGGUAAGGUAACGGCUUACCAAGGCAACGAUGCAUAGCCGACCUGAGAGGGUGAUAGGCCACACGGGAACUGAGACACGGUCCAGACUCCUACGGGAGGCAGCAGUAGGGAAUCUUCCGCAAUGGGCGAAAGCCUGACGGAGCAACGCCGCGUGAGUGAUGAAGGUCUUCGGAUCGUAAAACUCUGUUAUUAGGGAAGAACAUAUGUGUAAGUAACUGUGCACAUCUUGACGGUAACUAAUCAGAAAGCCACGGCUAACUACGUG